AGCCUUUUAUGCCUUUAAGCCUUAAGCAUCCAUUAGCAUUUAGCCUUGUUUUUGUUUUCCAACAACUCGGUUUUCCCACCUUCAACUUCUUCUCUUCCAUUUUUCUCUUGCUUCCUCUUUCUUCUUUCUUCUUUCUUCCUUCUUUCUUCCUUCUUCCACCCACUCCUUCAAUUUCUUCCCACAAUCCCAUACUCUCUCUCACACACAUAGAUAUGAGCAGAAAUUCGAGUCCCAGACCGUCGGAUUUCCUCUCCUUUUCCGCUUCUCUUUCCCUACUUUUCGUCUCCGCUGUCUCUUAACACUUCUUUUGGUUGGCUACUACAGCCCUUUCUGAUGAUUCCAGUAAAAAAGACAGUACUCACUCUGGGAAUCAUCCAUCCUCUAGAAGCAGCACUGGUUCAAUGGUUGCCAUCAUCCUCCUUGGAAUUUUGGUAGUUGUGUUAUUAUCAUUUUUCCUUUUCAAGUUAUGGCAAAAGAAGAGAAGAGAAGAGCAAUAUGCCCGACUUCUUAAAUUAUUUGAAGAAGAUGAUGAACUUGAGGUUGAACUUGGUCUUCGGGAUUGAGAAUAUCUGAAAUUCUAGUUCACUUAAGUUUGGCUCAGAAACCAUUAUGUUGGAAUGGUUGCAUUUUAAAUGUCUAAAAGGUGGUGAGAUGAUAGAGUGAGUCUGUUGUAAGGUUAGAUUUUUUUUUGUUUGUUUUUUAUUUUUUAAAGAUUGGGGGUGGGGCAUAACCUUGUAAUUCCCAUAUUAUAAUGGAUAAUUUUGUAAGGAGUGGUUGAAGGAUACGAGUCCAGGUUUUGUAAAAUUGAUGUCAUAUAGAAAGUUUAAUGGUGAAAGCCGAAAGGGUUUUGACUAAAGCCUCAAAUAUUAUUCUAAAUAUGUUUGACUUUUUAAAAUGUAUUUCUAA